AGUAGCCUCGUCCGCCUGCUGACGGGAGCCCGCCUGCGCUGGGGAGGCUCGGGGAGGCCGCGGGGCCGCGUCCACGCUGACAGGGCCCGGCUCCUCAGGACCCGCGGGGAGGCUUCAGGAAGAUAUGGGGCCGCGUUUUAGGAUUAAGGGUAGAGUUGGAUCCAGUUUGUUAUGAAACCCAUCCAAGGAAUCUGGGACGAUGAACUGAGCCACCGUUGGGCACUUAACCAACCAAACUACCCAGGACAAUUUCCUCAUGGGUAGUAAACCCAAAAGAGACAAAACACAAGCUACCAACUGGUGGUGAUUCUGUACGUAGGAUAAGCACCAUUGCUUCAGCCAUUGUAGAUGCAUCAGUUUGCAAAAAUCCCUCUCCUGAAGAUGGUGGACAUGGCUCAAAGGAUGACCAAGAUAGCUUCAGACCUUCCUCUUUUCCACUGAAUCAUUCUUCUAGCGAAAUUUCUGGAACAAGUUUAUGAGGAAAAGAAAGAAGGAAGAAAAAGAAAAACCAAGAAAAACAAUAACUGACUUCCCAGAAAAACACCAGAUUCUGUGUUUAUUUUGGCCUGCUUGUUAAAAGAUUCUAAAUCCCAAAAUAAGAAACACAAUUAAAGUACCAUGAAAGUA